rnacentral:rRNA from 1 species
UACGGAGGGUGCAAGCGUUAAUCGGAAUCACUGGGCGUAAAGCGCACGUAGGCGGUGAAGUAAGUCAGGCGUGAAAUCCCUCGGCUCAACCGGGGAACUGCGUUUGAUACUGCUUUGCUUGAGUGCCGGAGAGGGUGGCGGAAUUCCAGGUGUAGGAGUGAAAUCCGUAGAUAUCACUAGGAAUAUCAAAAGCGAAGGCGAUCUGCUGGGAUGAUACUGACGCUCAGACGUGAAAGCGUGGGUAGCAAACAGA